rnacentral:rRNA from 1 species
AGUGAACGCUGGCGGUAGGCCUAACACAUGCAAGUCGAACGGCAGCACAGUAAGAGCUUGCUCUUACGGGUGGCGAGUGGCGGACGGGUGAGGAAUACAUCGGAAUCUACUUUUUCGUGGGGGAUAACGUAGGGAAACUUACGCUAAUACCGCAUACGACCUACGGGUGAAAGCAGGGGAUCUUCGGACCUUGCGCGAUUGAAUGGGCCGAUGUCGGAUUAGCUAGUUGGCGGGGUAAAGGCCCACCAAGGCGACGAUCCGUAGCUGGUCUGAGAGGAUGAUCAGCCACACUGGAACUGAGACACGGUCCAGACUCCUACGGGAGGCAGCAGUGGGGAAUAUUGGACAAUGGGCGCAAGCCUGAUCCAACCAUACCGCGUGGGUGAAGAAGGCCUUCGGGUUGUAAAGCCCUUUUGUUGGGAAAGAAAAGCAGCAGGUUAAUACCCCGCUGUUCUGACGGUACCCAAAGAAUAAGCACCGGCUAACUUCGUG